ensembl:lncRNA
AAGCCAUUCAGGUGUCUAGAGAAACAGUAUACAGAGCCAAAGAAGCAAGGUUCAUGAGGUGGUAGUGAUGUGUAUUACAGCCACAGCAGAGUAUUGCUUGAGUCAGAGCACAUGCAAAACAUAGGAGAUGAAGAUGGUGGCAAAACAGUAGGAAGAACUUUGGGACCUUAUUUAAGGGGGUGAGAAGCAGAUGAGGAGGUAAAGGUACUCUGAGUAGCAGGGAUGAUGGUGUGUUUCAGUCAAGCCACUGUCCCCUGCUUCACUCCAUCCACAGAGUAGAAAAUCUCCUCCUUGGCUUGCCCAGUACUGACUUCUUUGAACCUGUUACAGAAACCACACUGCCCUCAUCUGUUUCCCUGACCUCAGUCUCCAGCUACUGAUAUUUCCUCUAAGAUAUUCUACCCUUCAGCUGUUGGACAUGGAAGCAAGUGUGUGGUCCCUUCUACUUCAAAACAGAUGAAGACACUCCAUGUGCAGAUGGUUGAUUACAUAAGCCCGGGGCUCAGCUUCUCCAAUCAUUUCUCCCUCUUCAUUUUAUAGAUGAAUGGAAACACACAAUGGAGAAUGAUUGGCAUCUUGCAGAGGAGCUAAAAUAACUUAACAGAGAGAGAUCCCCAUCCGGCAAUAUCACUCUCCCUGAGAAAAGCACAGAAACUAUCAGUGUGGAAAAUAAAUGGAGCUGGAAGCAUGUUUAACUGUUUUAUAACCCCACUGGUUCAUUACCUCAAUGGGGGCUGUGCUUGUGGAUGUCACUCUGCCCACCAAACAAACAGAGGAAAUUCCAAAGAUGUUCGUAUUUCCUUCUCUCUCCCACCUUCACUGAAGACAAACAUGUUUGAUUUCUCUCUGCACCUGUUCCUACUUUCUGUUUUUGUAUGCCACCUGUUCCUAUAGCAUCAUAGUAGACAUGUAUAACCCCUGACUCAUACAACUAAAAUGAGAAGUAUGCCAAGAACUAGACUAUAGACAGAGAUUCACAGCCAGGAGAUGUAGGCUGAGCUGCAAGCAAGGCCCAGGUUUCUUUUGUGAUCUUAACACCUACCUCCUCUCAGCCUGUAAUGGACUAUUGUGCUUUUCUGGGCUCCAUGACUCACCAGUCUCAAACAUCACACAGUAAGAAAGAGUUUGCACAUUUAUUAGGGAUGUUUAGGUGUUGGUGUCUGGAAAGCCCAGACAAUAAGGCAUUGCUAAAGCUUUACAAUUGACUAAAGAAAAUAGCUAGGGCCUCUGAGAUGUUUUCCCAAGACUGAGCUGUUGACAGCUCCAUGAGGAUUUUAACCACCACAUUCUGUUAGUAAAUAAUGACUAGACCAGCUGCAGCUUUCCUGCCCUCGAUGUAAUCAGUUCUGGGGCAGGGGAUUGGGGGGUGGAAUGUGCUUGACAGGUAAUUAAGAACACUGACAGGAAAUAGCAUUUGGCCUCAUUGAAAGUGAACCUCUUUGAAAGUUUGUAAAAGAUAAUCUAAUUUACCAAAACCCCAGCUGGCAAAACUGUGCUUAUCAUGGCCAACUCAGGAGUCUCCUUUAAAUUAAUCACUCUUUGCCUUAUACUGUUCUUUAAAGUUUUACUUUUAAUGUGAGGAAAAGGGAUGAAAAUACUAUAGAGCCUGAAGUGGGAACUCCACUGUGACACAUAAGAUAUAGAAACAUUGAUUGACUGGAGGUGCAGAAUUUCCUGGCUAGAGUUGAG